rnacentral:ncRNA from 1 species
AUCAAACCUGUGAGGGAGAGUAGUAGUUAAGCGGUACUCAUACCAGAGAGCUGUGAUGGUGGAAAUCAGCAUGAGAAAACUUAGUGAAUGGACUCCUGAGGGCCUGCCUGAAUAAAGUAGGGUAAGACGGAGUGAUGACCGUUAUUCUCAUUACCUGUGUGAUGGCAUAGGGUUAAGAUGGUGCAUUAGCAUCAAAUUGGGUGGCAACGCGGAUAAUAUUCGCCCCAAGC